CCGCCCCGCGAGGAGGUCAUCGUCGGAAUGAAACUUCACAUAAACGUUAUAAUCCAUACCUCAAUCGACGGAGGGAACAGAUCGACGUCAUCGAGCCUAUACCCCAUUCCUCACACACUGAGCUAAGGAGAGCACAUCUCACUCGCCAGGAGUCACAGCCCCUUCAUCAAGACGACACACCGCUGUGCAUAGAUUUGGCAUCCAGCGACAGCUGCAGCAG